CCCUGUCGUUACAAGCUUAUGCCAAAAGAAAAGAUAUGCAAAUAUGAAACUUUUAUUUAAGGCAAAGUUAUUGGUAAUACACUCGUAGAUUUUUUGAGUCCCAUGGUCGCAAAAGGUCUGCUCCCCGUCGGGGUCCUCCAGAGAUGGUGUUGAUGAUCCCGAUUAGAGGCUGAUCCUCAGACUGUUCUUCCCUCCUAGGCGGCUCUGGUUGUGGUAGGGCCCU
rnacentral:lncRNA from 1 species